AUGACUUAUUAUAAAUAAUAGACUUAAAUGUUCUAGUCGCCCCUUAUAUUUCUCAAUUGUUUGAUUUUUACUCCCCUUGUUUCAAUUGUGUGAUUAUGGACCCUCAUAGAUCAUAAAGAAAUAACAAUAAUUACCAAUACACUUCAUAACUAGAGGUUUUAUUACCUUUGGGCAAUCAUCAUCAGAAACACAACGAAUAUUAGCUACACAUGACAUAUAAGAAAAAAAAUGUUACUAAAAGGUGAUAAAAUAUUAUGGGUAAAAAAACUUUAGAAUUGCAAAUUGGUGUGAAAAAUAGCAUACUUAUUGCUGUUUCAACAAGAAAUAGAGAAAGAAAGUUGAUCAAAGCAUAAACAAAC
rnacentral:lncRNA from 1 species